rnacentral:rRNA from 2 species
UGCAGUCGACGAGUUCUGAUUAUUGAAAGGUGCUUGCAUCUUGAUUUAAUUUUGAACGAGUGGCGGACGGGUGAGUAACACGUGGGUAACCUGCCCUUAAGUGGGGGAUAACAUUUGGAAACAGAUGCUAAUACCGCAUAAAUCCAAGAACCGCAUGGUUCUUGGCUGAAAGAUGGCGUAAGCUAUCGCUUUUGGAUGGACCCGCGGCGUAUUAGCUAGUUGGUGAGGUAACGGCUCACCAAGGCAAUGAUACGUAGCCGAACUGAGAGGUUGAUCGGCCACAUUGGGACUGAGACACGGCCCAAACUCCUACGGGAGGCAGCAGUAGGGAAUCUUCCACAAUGGACGCAAGUCUGAUGGAGCAACGCCGCGUGAGUGAAGAAGGCUUUCGGGUCGUAAAACUCUGUUGUUGGAGAAGAAUGGUCGGCAGAGUAACUGUUGUCGGCGUGACGGUAUCCAACCAGAAAGCCACGGCUAACUACGUGCCAGCAGCCGCGGUAAUACGUAGGUGGCAAGCGUUAUCCGGAUUUAUUGGGCGUAAAGCGAGCGCAGGCGGUUUUUUAAGUCUGAUGUGAAAGCCCUCGGCUUAACCGAGGAAGUGCAUCGGAAACUGGGAAACUUGAGUGCAGAAGAGGACAGUGGAACUCCAUGUGUAGCGGUGAAAUGCGUAGAUAUAUGGAAGAACACCAGUGGCGAAGGCGGCUGUCUGGUCUGUAACUGACGCUGAGGCUCGAAAGCAUGGGUAGCGAACAGGAUUAGAUAC